GUGCUUGCUUCAGCAGCACAUGUACUAAAAUUGGAACAAUACAGAGAAGAUUAGUAUGGCCCCUGUGCAAGGAUGACACACAUAUUUGUGAAGCAUUCCAUCCUUUU